rnacentral:tRNA from 1 species
GCCCAGAUGGCGGAAUUGGUAGACGCGCUAGUUUCAGGUAUUAGUGGGCGCAAGCCCUUGGAAGUUCGAGUCUUCUUCUGGGCACCA